rnacentral:rRNA from 1 species
AGUGAACGCUGGCGGUAGGCCUAACACAUGCAAGUCGAACGGCAGCACAGUAAGAGCUUGCUCUUACGGGUGGCGAGUGGCGGACGGGUGAGGAAUACAUCGGAAUCUACUUUUUCGUGGGGGAUAACGUAGGGAAACUUACGCUAAUACCGCAUACGACCUACGGGUGAAAGCAGGGGAUCUUCGGACCUUGCGCGAUUGAAUGAGCCGAUGUCGGAUUAGCUAGUUGGCGGGGUAAAGGCCCACCAAGGCGACGAUCCGUAGCUGGUCUGAGAGGAUGAUCAGCCACACUGGGACUGAGACACGGUCCAGACUCCUACGGGAGGCAGCAGUGGGGAAUAUUGGACAAUGGGCGCAAGCCUGAUCCAGCCAUACCGCGUGGGUGAAGAAGGCCUUCGGGUUGUAAAGCCCUUCUGUUGGGAAAGAAAAGCAGCAGGUUAAUACCCCGCUGUUCUGACGGUACCCAAAGAAUAAGCACCGGCUAACUUCGUG